GGCUAACGCUGGCGGCGUGUCUUAGCCAUGCAAGUCGAGCGGACUUAUGGGGUAACUUAUAAGUCAGCGGCGGACGGCGGAGUAACACGUAGCUAACCUACCCUCUGGACGGGGAUAACCUACCGAAAGGUGGGCUAAUACCCGAUGUAGUCAUCCUGUAUAGGGGUGAUGAAAGGUGGGCUUCUGUUUACAAGCUCAUGCUGGAGGAGGGGGCUGCGGCCUAUCAGGUAGUUGGUAGGGUAAUAGCCUACCAAGCCGAUGACGGGUAGCCGGCCUGAGAGGGUGACCGGCCCGAGGGGCACUGAGAUACGGGUCCCACUCCUACGGGAGGCAGCAGGCUAGAAAUUUGGGCAAUGGGGGAAACCCUGACCCAGUGACGCCGCGUGCAGGAAGGAGCCCGUUCGGGGUGUAAACUGCUGUCGUGUAGGGAGAAGGGUACUAAGGUGAACAAUCUUAAGUACUUGACGGUACUACAGGAGGAAGCCCAGGCUAACCUCGUG
rnacentral:rRNA from 1 species